GGCAGAAAGCGCUUGGUGCCUUGGGCUGACACCAAGGCUUUAACUUCCCUGGAGGGUUGCUCUUGAUAUGAAAUGAGCUAAACAAAACAUAAUAGGAUGAGACUAUCACUUCCAGGCUUUGGGAUUUGACUCCCUGCUGUUG